ACCCGCUCCUGCGGGAUGCGUGCCGCGCAUGGCGGAGCCCGCUGACCUGUCCCAGGGCGCGCCUUUCAACCGAGUUACUGCCUUUGGCCCCGUUGUGGUGCCGGCCGGCCCUCAGGGAAGGGAAAAGAAGGCUGAGAGUCCCGAAAGCGGCGGGCUAGAGGUGGCUGCGCAGUGAAGAGGGACCCCCAGGCCCACGCCCCGGGGUGGGAGCCGAAGACGCCCUUGGGCCACGGUAGUGUUGGAGCCCUUGUUUGAAUACUGACAUUUUAAUCAUAGUUACACCGACGUUGACCAAUUAUCGGGGAAGCAACGUUUCUGACGCAAAUCCGUGAGCCCAUUUGAUUCCUUGGUCGAUUUUUUAUACCGAGUAUUUAAGCCAUUUCCAUUUUUCUCCCAUUUUAAUUACUUUGCAGAAAUUUUCAUCGUGGUCAGUUUUUUACUUUGUAGACUCAGUACUUUUCUGCUGACAAAAAAGGUAAACGAAUAUGGCCAGAAGAACCAUCUCCACCACCCACUUAUUUCCGGGCUAGAGGCAUCCCCCUCCUCUCUAUUUUGUUUACCUGUAUUUCUGCCCUGCUACCCAGGGAUAUGAUUUGCAGUAUGAUUCGUCUCCCAGGGUUUCGUUUCUCUUUUUUUUUUUUUUUUUUUUUUUUUUUGCCAUAUAAAAUUAUUACUUGUAACUUCUGCUGUUGAGGGUUUCUUUGGUGACCAUUGUUUCUGGUUAGCCCGUUUUUCACUGGUGUUAUUUAACAGAUCUAAAUUUUGUGAAGAGUUGGUACUUACGGACAGGCGCGGUGGCUCACGCCUGUAAUUCCAGCACUUCGAGAGGUCGAGGUGGACGGAUCACGAGGUUAAGAUACCGAGACCAUCCUGGCCAACAUGGUGAAACCCCGUCUCUACUAAAAAUACAAAAAUUACCCGGGCGUGGUGGCCCGCGCCUGUAGUCCCAGCUACUCGGGAGGCUGAGGCAGGAAAAUCGCUUGAACGCGGGCGGAGUAUUGUAGUGAGCCGAGAUCGCACCACUGCACUCCACCCUGGCGACAGAGCGAGACUACGUCUCAAAGAAAAAAAAAAAGAGUUGGUACUUACAUCGCUUCAGUCAGCCACACAUUUAUUUUGCCAGUGAUUUGAGUUUAGGUUUUCAGACAGAUCUCAUGGGUGUGGGACAGUUUUUGCCAUUCUCAACGUUAGCAACAAGAUGCAAUUUACAGUCAGUUUUUGGUCAAUAACAAAGUGUACCAUGUGUUAGUUUGAUUUUUGGAUUACUUCUACCAGAAAUAUAGAUUAGGAGUUGGAUAAAAGACUACUUUAGGCCAGGCGCGGUGGCUCAUGCCUGUAAUCCCAGCACUUUGGGAGGCCGAGGUGGGCGGAUCACGAGGUCAGGAGAUCGAGACCAUCCUGGCUAACGUGGUGAAACUCCGUCUCUACUAAAGAUACAAAAAAAUUAGCCAGGCGUGGUGGCGGGCGCCUGUAGUCCCAGCUACUUGGGAGGCUGAGGCAGGAGAAUGGCGUGAACCCGGGAGGCGGAGCUUGCAGUUAGCUGAGAUCGCGCCACUGCACUCCAGCCUGGGUGACAGAGCGAGACUCCAUCUCAAAAAAAAAAAAAAAAAAAAAGGACUACUUUGUGUGUGUGUGUGUGUGUGUGUGUGAUGCAGAAAGCAUUAUUAGGAGAGACUUAGGAUCUGUCCCCCAGGCUGGAGUGCAAUGGCGCGAUCUCGGCUCACUGCAACCUCUGCCUCCAGGUUCAAGCGAUUCUCCUGCCUCAACUUCCUGAGUAGCUGGUAUUACAGGCGGCUGCUACCACUCCCGGCUAAUUUUUUGUAUUUUUAGUAGAGUCAGGGUUUCACCAUGUUGGCCAGGCUGGUCUCGAACUCCUGACCUCGUGAUCCGCCCGCCUGGGCCUCCCAAAGAGCUGGCAUUACAGGCGUGAGCCACCGCACCCUGCCAAAGUAGCUAUGUUUUAACAAAAAGAGCCCAUAAUUGAGAGCCAUGAAGUCGGGCCCCAACACUGACUAGCUGUGCAACUUUGGAAAAGUCUCUUAACCUUUCCAGGUCUCCAUUUUCCAUGUGCCAGCGGCUAUUAGUUCUAAGCAAGACAACGAGGCCUCUUCUUUCAUAAAAUGUAUAUUCAAAUGGGGUACAUGAGGUAAACAAGAUAAUGAUUAAGAACUGUUUUUUGUUUUUUGUUUUUUGUUUUUUUUUGAGACGGAGUCUCCCUCUGUCGCCCAGGCUGGAGUGCAGUGGUGCGAUCUCGGCUCACUGCAAGCUCCACCUCCCAGGUUCACGCCAUUCUCCUGCCUCAGCCUCCCAAGUAGCUGGGACUACAGGGGCCUACCACCACGCCUGGCUAAUUUUUUGUAUUUUUAGUAGAGACGGGGUUUCACCGUGUUAGCCAGGAUGGUCUCAAUUUCCUGACCUCGUGAUCUGCCCGCCUCAGCCUCCCAAAGUGCUGGGAUUACAGGCGUGAGCCACCGUGCCCGGCCAAGUACUGUUAAUAGGACAAAACUGGACAGUGUGAAAGAGCCUGGGGAUAGGAGCCCCCCCCCCCCGCCCUUUUUUUUCUUUCUUUGAGACAGAGUCUCACUCUGUCACCCAGGCUGGAGUACAGUGGUGCAAUCUUGGCUCACUGCAACCUUCACCUCCCAGGUUCAAGCGACUCUUCUGCCUCAGCCUUCUAAGUAGCUGGGAUUACAGGCGUACACUAGCACACCUGGCCAAUUUUUGUAUUUUUAGUAGAGAUGGGGUUUUGCCAUGUUGGCCAGGCUGGUCUCAAACUCCUGACCUCAGGUGACCUGCCCAUCUCCCAAAGUGUUGGGAUUACAGGCAUGAGCCACCAUGCUCGGCCAAGCUCUUUAGAUAAGAUGAUCAUGGACAGCCUCUCAAAAGGUGACAUUUGAGCUGAGACUUGAAUGAUGAGAAGGAACCAGCCAUAUCAGCCAUAUGAAGAGCCCAGGCACAGUAAAUAUUAGCUGUCAAAGGCCCUAGAGCAGUAAUGUGCUUGACAUUUUUAAAAAAUAGGAAUGACCGUGGGGCAUGGUGGCUUACACCUGUAAUCCCAGCACUUUGGGAGGCUGAGGUGGGCGGAUCACUUCAGAUCAGGAGCUCGAGACCAGCCUGGCCAACAUGGUGAAACAUAGUCUGUACUAAAAAUACAAAAAUUAGCUGGGUGUGGUGGUGUGCGCCUGUAAUCCCAGCUACCUGGGAGGCUGAGGCAGGAGAAUCACUUGAACUCAGGAGGUGCAGGUUGCAGUGAGCCAAGGUCGCGCCACUGCACUUCAACCUGGGUGACAGAGCAAGACUCUGUCUCAAAAGGAAUGACCUGUGUAGCUAAAAUAUAAUGAGCAAAAUAGAAACAUUUGAAAUGAAAUAGUAGAGAAAUGUAUUCAUUAGCGGCAAAAUUAAUCAAUAUGGGUAUAAUUUUGAUUAAAAUAUAAAACCAGAAUUCUACUCUUCAAAAAGGCCUGGCUCAUGCCCCACGUGGUGGCUCAUACCUGUAGUCCCAGCUACUUAGGAGGCUGAGGUGGGAGGACCACUUGAGCCCAGAAGUUUGAGGCUGCAGUGAGCUAUAAUCACACCACUGCCCUCCAGCCUGGGCAAGAGAGCGAGGCUUUGUCUCUUAAAAAAAAAGAAUGCCAAGGAAAGGAUGAGCUCAUAGGAAGCCUCAGCUACCAGAGGUUCUAUUAAAUACCAGACCUCAGUGUGAAAGGAAUCUUUAUGGUAGUAGUUAAAAUUCAUUUCCUCAGUUACACUAGCCACUUUGCAAGUGCUUGAUAUCCACUUGUGGCUAUCGUAUGAGCACAGAUGGAGAACAUUUUCAUUAUCAAAGGAAGUUCUACUAGACAAUGCUGUAUUAGCUUACUCAUUUAUUAUAAAGCCCUGUUCAAUUGUUUUUCAGAAAUCUUAAAAUUUCUCCCACGCAAGGUGCGGUGGCUCACGCCUGUAAUCCCAGCACUUUGGGAGGCCAAGGCGGGUGGAUCACUUGAGGUCAGGAGUUUGAGACUAGCCUGGCUAACAUGGCGAAACCCCAUCUCUAUUAAAAAUACAAAAAUUAGCUGAGUGUGGCAGCAGGCACCUAUAAUUCCAGCUACUCGGGAGGCUGAGGCAGGAGAAUGGCUUGAACCUGGAGGCGGAGGUUGUAAUGAGCCAAGAUUGCACCACUGUGCUCCAGCCUGAGUGACAGAGCGAGACUCUGUCUCAAAAAAAAAAAAAAAAAAAAACCUCCCAAAUCUUUUCUUUUUUAGUCUAAAGAAGGAUUGGAUACUUCCCAGUUCCAUUUCAGGGAUUAUAACAGACUAAACUGAAAACAAGUCAGCUACAAAAUACCCGAACAUUCUGGAUGUAAAAUUUAAAACAUUCUUUUAGUUACGUUGCUGAGCUCUCAAAAAAGUAAAAUUUGCAGGAACCAAAAAUGAUGUGGGAGUUUGAAUCUAUAGAGUGGUAAGGGGAUUUUUAAGGUGGAAGCUAUUUUAAGGGCCAUUGCUGAUCUCUAGACGUCUAGGACCCGAUUCAAGGGACAAGAGACAAGACCUGAGCUUAUGUAAAGAGGAAUUAAGAUACAGAACUUUCUAUAGAGCUAAGAACCCUGAAGGUCCACUAGCUCAAUGAAGGGGCCAACAAUUUUUUUUUUUUUUUUUUUUUUUUGGAUACGGAGUCUCACUCUGUCGCCCAGGCUGGAGUACAGUGGCGCGAUCUCAGCUCACUGCAACCUCCGCUGCCUGGAUUCAAGCGAUUCUCAUGCAUCAGCCUCCUGAGUAGCUGGGAUUACAGGCACCCACCACCACGCAUAGCUAAUUUUUUUGUAUUUUUAGUAGAGACGGAGUUUCGCCACGUUGGUCAGGCUGGUCUCGAACUCCUGACCUUGGGUGAUCUGCUCGCCUUGGCCUCCCAAAGUGCUAGGAUUAUAGGCGUGAGCCACCAUGCCUGGCCAGGCCAACUAUUUAUAAAAAAGAAAAAUGCUGCCCUACUAAAGGAGAGAAGGUGAUUAGGAAACUUGCCUGCUUCAACCGUUGUUCCAGAGGGAAGAAGGAAAAAACCUCCUAAGAAUUUAUAACCACAGAUGAUUCUUCAUGCAGACAGACUUCACAUUCAUGAUUGUGUACAUGAUCCAGGACACUCAAACUGAAAAAUCUACUUAAACUGGUCUUGUAGUCUUUAUUGACUGUUUGUACCAAAUUGACUCCAGGAGAAAUGGAAAAUCUAAUUAGAUCUAUAACUCUUCAAGACAUUGAAAUUACAGCUUUAAAUUUUACAAUAAAGAAUAUUCUGGCCAGGCAUGGUGGCUCACGCGUGUAAUCCCACUGCACUCCGGCCUGGGCAAUAGGGCAAGACUCCGUCUCAAAAAAACCAGAAUAUUCUAGGCUCAAAUGGUAUUACAGAUGAGUCUACCAAACAUUCAAGGAGCAAUUAAUUCCAAUCUUAAAUUCUUCAAAUAAUAAUUAAAAAAAGGCUGGGUGCAGUGGCUCAUGCCUGUAAUUCCAGCACUUUGGGAGCCCGAGGUGGGUGGAUCAUGAGGUCAGGAGAUCGAGACCCUCCUGGCUAACACGGUGAAACCCUAUCGCUACUAAAAAUACAAAAAAUUAUCUGGGUGUGGUGACACGCACCUGUAGUCCCAGCUACUUGGGAGGCUGAGGCAGGAGAAUCGCUUGAACCUGGGAGGCAAAGGUUGCAGUGAGCCAAGGUUGCGCCACUGCACUCCAGCCUGGGCGACAGAGCAAGACUAAAAAAAAAAAAAAAAGAAAAAAUUAUGUAUCAGAAAACCUACAACGCACACAUUUAGUGGAGAAAUGUGUGAAGCAUUCCUUCUAAGGAAUGAGACAAGGAUGGCUGCUAUUGUCACUUUGUUUUAUUGGAGGCCUUAGGAACCACACAAGGAACUAAAGUUUUUGUUUUCUUUUGCAAAUUGUAUGACUGUUUAUAGAAAAUUCAACAAGACAGGUGUGGUGGCUCACACCUGUCAUCCCAGCUCUUUGGGAAGACCAGGCAGGCAGAUGGCUUGAACCCAAGAGUUCAAGACUAGCCUGGGCAACAUGGCAAAACCCCAUCUCUACAAAAAGUACAGAAAAAUUAGUCAGGAGUGGUGGCACAGGCCUGUGGUCCCAGCUACUCAGAGGGCUGAGAUAGGAGAAUCAUUGCUUGGGCCCAGGAGGUCGAGGCAGUGGUGAGCCAUGAUCACACCACUGCACUCCAGCCUGGGCAACAGCAAGUCCCUGCAAAGUUUAUAGUCAUAUAGAAUUAAGUAAUUCAGCAUGCUGCUUAAUACUAGAUCAAUAUGUGAAAUAAAUUACAAUUCUUUAUAUCAGUAAUAGAUAAAAAUGUAAAAUUACCCUUUACAACAGCAACAGAAAAUAUGAAAUGCUAGGGAAUAAUUCUAAUAAAAAGAGGAGCUGACCAAUGUGGAAAAGAUAGAAAGCUUUACUGAAAUACACUUAAAGACAUAAGUAAAUGGAGACAUACUAUUUUUAUGAAUAGGAAGACUCAUAAAAAUAUCUGUUUUUUCAAAAUCUACAAAUUCCAUGUAAGUCCAAUGAAAAUACUAACAGGCUUUUUCCUGGAACCUGAUGGUUGAAUAAACAAUUUAUAUGGAAGAGUAAAGGAACAAGAAAAGUUAAAGUGAUUUUUGAUGGAUAAGAAGAGCAGGAAGAAUUGACAUACAAAUGGUGCAGGCUUAUUAAAAACAUCAGUGAACGAGGCAGUGUGGCACCAGCACAGGGAUACACAAACAGAUAAAGUAAAGGGAGGAGACUGGAGAACCCAGUAACAGCCCCCCACGUAUGACAAUAUGUGACAGCAGUGACAUCAUAAUCAGUAGGGGUGGGGUAAGGAUGGACUAGUCAGUCAAUGAUGGUUAUUUAAAUAGAAAAAAGAAUUGGAUCUUUGACUAAAGAACAACAAAAACCCAAACAAAAAAUCCAGGUGGAUUAAAGACCUAAAUAUGAAAAGAAAUACAGAAGAAAACAGAUGUAGGGGAGGACUUCCUGAGUAAAACACAAAAAGCACAAAGUAAAAGGAAUACAGUCAUCUGCCAGAAGAAAAAUGGUGAUUCUUCCCAGUCCAAAGGUGAAGAUGGUGACUGUGAAAGUAUCAGCUUUAGCCAGACCACUGAUGAAGCUCCCAGAUGUCACAGCAUCCAUGGGCUUGUGAUCUCAGGUGAAGGCAUUGAACCCUGAGCCCUGGAUUCCCAUCUCUUCACUUGCUCCCUCCACCACCCCACCCCCAUAUUCAGAAUGGCCUCUAGGCUUCUAGGUUUGUGUCUUUAAUGGCACCUAGGCAAUAAAUAAAAAAUACAGUGCAGUGCUGACUGCAUCUUCCCUACAGCUCUUUGAAGUGAAUCGAUGUCUCUGGGAAGAGGAACAGAGUAGUGUGAGUGUGAAGGACUGGAUUCUUGUUGCUUUCUCCUGAUGCCCAUUCCAGGGUUUCCCCAGGCAACUAGGAAGACCAUCCAUGGUGAGGCCUGCAAUCUAGGCUUCUUGCUGAUCAGUCAGGUGAGUCACUUCUUUAGGAGGGAUACCAGUGUACGCCAGUGCCCAGUUCCAGGGGAAGACAGAAGUGGGUGCCAGGCUUCCUGUCCAGUUAGGCAGGAGAUGAGUCCUGCUGGCCAUCAUUGAUCAGUACCACUUCCUACCACCUCCAAUUUCUGGCUUCCUCAUGGCCUUCUUGGGGAGUCCCCAGCUUCCUCAUGGCUUUCCUAGGGGGAAUCCCCAGCUUCACGGCCUUCCUGGGGGAGUCCCCAAGCUCUCCAUGGUCUUCUUAGGGAGCCCACAGUAAUGGAAGCCUGAUGGGUGCUCUGAUCCCAGGGUCACGAGCAAAGCGCUGUGACUCACUCCCUAUACCUCUUGUCACAUUUGUGGGAAUCCGAGGCCCUGCAUGGGUUUUCUGUUUCUAGCUUCACUCCAAUUUCCGGGGUCCCAUGAUAUAACAAGUGUCAACUGAGUGUCUGCAGAUCUGAAAGAGACCAAUCACAGCGUUGUCACACCUCCCAAACCCAGCAUCUGUUUUCCCCAACAGGUCCUGCCUCUUCUAUCUUUUUAUCUAUUACACUUCCAAACCUACUGCAAUAGCAUGGCCCUCCCCAGAUACACUUAUAUGCACUUCUUUCCUAUUAUUUUGCAUCAUUUUGCCUUACUAAACCAAUGUCCCUCCUGGCACCUUCCCAGCUCUUGAUGGACAUCUCCAGCCUGAUCUCAGAGAAACCUAAUGCUAUUACUGUUACUACUACUAGCUAUUAACUUGAGGACCUGAUUUGUGCUAGGCGCUGCCUGUUAUGAAUACAUGUGCUAGGCCAUGUUCUGAGCCCUUCGUGUAUAUACUGUUCUCAUUUCAUAGCAAUGGAAACCUGUUGGUCAGUGAGGAAACCAAGGCACAGAGCGGGUGAGUAACUUGGCCAAGUUACUUUUUAUGGGUUAAUAAGUGCAGGAGCCAGGAUACAAACCCCGACAGCCUUUUCCAGAAGCUGCGCUUUGAACUACUAGGCUACAGGGCUGUCUCCUAAAAGUCAAAGUAGAUCAGAUACUGUAGCUGAAUCCCGUUCCCCUUCUCCCUCCUGUAGUAGCUUACAACGCAUGACAGCUUCUUUGACUUGACGAAAGCCACCAUCAGGGCCCCUGCCAUCGACGUAGUACAUGAAUCGGAGCUCAGGUGGGUAGGCAGCUCUGCUGAGGCCCGACAGCAGGGGGAUGGUGCAGCCCUCGGCCCCUGGAGCCUCGGUCAGGGCCUGCAGCAUCUGGUACUUGCACCAGGGGUCCUGAAGGAAGCCCGGCGUGAUGAGCAGCACCCGGCAGUGACUACUGCUCAGUGCCUGGCACAGCUCGGACACUAUAGCGCCGCCUGGGGUUGCAUCCCGGAGUUGCAGGAAGCAGCGCAGGCUGGCAGUGCUGCCUUCCAAGUAGGAGACCAGGUCCUGGGCGGCCACCAGGUCUUCCUCACUGUGGCACACGCAGACGUCAUAGUCUUUGCUCCAGCGACUACUGCCACUGUCACUCGCAUGUGUGGGUGGCAGGCUGGGAGACGUGACUGAGCUGAGGCUUGGGGGUAGUGGGCUGUCCUGUGAGGUAGGCUGUGAAGCAUCGCUGGAGGUGCUUUCUGGGGAGUUGGGCCUCUUCUUGGGCUUCUUCAGCAGGGUCUGCCUGAACCAGUCUGUGGGGGAGAAACACUGCUCAGGCCUGUGUGUUACCAGGUGCCCUCUCACUGCCCACACAGGGAGGAGCCCCACCUCACAGGGAGGACAGACAGACUGCAGCCCACCUCCCUGCACUGGGAAACAUCUUAUUCUCAGAGACCUGUUGCUCCACUAUUUUUUUUUUUUUUUUUUGAGGCAGAGUCUCACUCUCACCCAGGCUGGAGUACAGUGGUGCGAUCUUGGCUCACUGCAACUUCUGCCUCCCAGGUUCAAGCGAUUCUCCUGCCUCAGCCUCCUGAGUAGCUGGGAUUACAGGCAUGCACCACCACACCUGGCUAAUUUUUGUAUUUUUAGUAGAGACGGGGUUUCACCAUGUUGGUCAGGCUGGUCUUGAACUUCUGACCUCAUGAUCUGCCCGCCUCAGCCUCCCAAAGUGCUGGGAUUACAGGCGUGAGCCACUGUGCCCAGCACUCUGCUAUUUUUGUUUAUCUUUUGGGACUUGCCUAAAAGUGCCCUCUAAAGGUAAAGGUUUUGGACGUGUCAGAACUCUGGAAUCCUUAUGUGAGAGUGUUCCACCAGCCUGGUUAAGAGAAAUGGCCUUGCACUACUCCAGGCCCUUUGAUAUCUGGUACCCCCAGCCCAGCCCACCUUAAGCAGAACUUCCCACUAGAGCUGACUAGUCAACCACCGGGAGUCUGCAGGCAGAGCUACGUUAUGCUAGCAAGGAUCCAUCAGUCCCAAAGCCCACUUUCAGCACUGAGGGGAGGUGGACUUAGAUUAGGAAGGGCUACGUAUACAGGAAGGAAGGGGUACGGAGGACUGGCAUCUGUUUGGCCCCAAGAAAUCCUAGAUUGUCGCUAAAUGGGGAAGAGGCUACUGCUCAGAGUUGCUGAGGAGCAGAGAGCUUCGUGAUUCAGAACCCACACUCUGGAGUCAGGGACACGGCUUUGACUGUGGACUUGUGGACCUGUCUUAGUUGCUGAAAGUUAACUGAGAUAAUGCAGUGUCAGGUAUGUCAGGGAGCCGGGCCUCUUCUUGGGCUUCUUCAGCAGGGUCUGCCUGAACCAGUCUGUGGGGGAGAAACACUGCUCAGGUCUGUGUUUGGAGUAUGGGACUCCAUAAGGAGAUGAAAACAGCUUCCCCAGCCUUUGAUAAGGACAGAUAGUUGUGGUGGGGAUUGAUUCAUUUUCUCUCUCUGCUUGGCUUCUCCUCUAAAUGGUUCUGGAACAAAGAUUUGGACGACAAGAGACAGUGUUAAGCACUCAGCACAGUGGUUUCCAGGCUAGGAAAGCUAGCUGAGCAGGCCUGGAAAACCUUUGAGCCAAAAGGAUAAAGAUCUGGCUGAGCUGACGCAGGCCUCCCCUCCUCACUCUCCACAAAGCAUCCAGGCCCUGAAUUCAGGUCAGGAGUUCCCCACGUCAGCCUUCCUGCGUCUCUCUGAGUUUGGACCAGGCAGGCCUCCCACCGCGCCCUAUGGAGGCUGAGCACUACACUCAGGAACACAGCAGAGUCGCGAGUCCGGUUCCACUCACCAGCCAUCUUGCCUAGAGGCUUCUUAGGCCGAGAGCCAGGAGCUGGGAGGGAGGUCGAUGAUGCCAUAGCGUGGGGGUCAAAACUAGCCCCGUGAGACCAGGCAUUGGUGAAGGGGGAGGAGGGAGGAGACCCAGUCUUGACCUCAUGGAGCAGCCAUCCUACAGAGGGUAGAGAGAGAGAAUCACAAAGGCUGCACUUACCCUGCUCUCAUUCCCCAUGGAUGAGCUCUGCGAAGUUCUGUUUCUCUCCUAAUGCCUGACAGAGGCUUCUUCUCUAAAUGGGUCUUUCAUUCCUCAUGAGAUUAGGGCCAGACACGACUGUGAUUGGAGCUGGAUUCUAGAUAAAGCCAAAGCUGUGUAGUGUGGUCAGACUUACAGGGUAUGAGCUCAGCAUGACCAGCUGAGGAACUGUUCUCUGCUCCACCUGGCCAGGAGGAUAUUCGGGAUCUGGGGAAGGGCAGCUGGCAGGCAGCUCUUUAGAAGGACUUCCUAUGUAAGGCCUGAAAUGGCAGAAGAAGGACAGUUGCUAUUUGGACAAAUAAUUAUGUAUCCAGAUAGACAGAAGCUGAACAGUAGAGAGAGAGCACAUGCAGGAAAUCUUGGGAGACUUUUCCUCCAAGUCUGCCUCCCCCUGAAUAACUCCAUCCAUAGACCCAUCGCCCCUGCAGCCGUCAGCUCAGGAAGGUCAUGUCAAAAAGUGGUACAGACUGCAGACUGCAGGUAGAGUGCCUGAUUCUCAUCUCUGGUUAACCGUGACCUUUGGCCACCUUGCUAAACUCGUUUCUCCAUCCGUGAAAUGGAAGUACUAGAGCCUCCUUCUCAGCAUUAUUGUGAAGAUUAAAUGAAAUCAUUUAUGUAAAGUCCUAAUGGUGCCUGGCAUGUAAUAAAUGCUUAGAAAAU
rnacentral:lncRNA from 1 species